AUACUACUUCCUCCGUUUCAAAUUACUCGUCGCAGAAAUGAAUGUAUGUAGAAUUAAAAUACAUCUAGAUACAUCCAUACCCGCGACAAGUAAUUCGAAACGGAGGGAGUACUUG
rnacentral:pre_miRNA from 1 species